AAACUAGAAGAAUUUAGAUAAGAUAAGUUAAUGAGAGUGUUUGGAUUAUAUAACAGAAAAAAACUGGUGGAAGUGAUUGAGUAAUAGAGAAGGUUGGUGCUAAGUCUAUUUCGCAAGCACGAGCUGUCCACUACUUUCAGCUCUUCUGCCCA